GACGAACGCUGGCGGCGCGCCUAACACAUGCAAGUCGAACGAGCGAGAGAGAGCUUGCUUUCUCAAGCGAGUGGCGAACGGGUGAGUAACGCGUGAGGAACCUGCCUCAAAGAGGGGGACAACAGUUGGAAACGACUGCUAAUACCGCAUGACGCUUCUUGGGGGCAUCCCUGAGAAGUCAAAGCUUUAUGUGCUGAAAGAUGGAUUCGCGUCUGAUUAGCUGGUUGGCGGGGUAACGGCUUACCAAGGCAACGAUCAGUAGCCGACCUGAGAGGGUGACCGGCCACAUUGGGACUGAGACACGGCCCAA
rnacentral:rRNA from 1 species